GGUAUUGGUUGAGAAGUAAGUUCUUCUUCAAAUGUAGUAGCUUUGACAGUAUGUGAUUUCAAAACUAGUAAGAAAAAGCUGACAUAGAAUUUGUCGCUUUGGAUAAAAGCGUCUGCUAAAUGAUUAAAUGUAAAUGUAAAUGUAGAAUAGAAGACAAUUAUGGUAACAUAGAAUCCCUUUUGGAAACACUGAAUGCAGCAACAUUUCACAACAUGUGAAAAUGAGCUUGUGUAGCAAGUAUUUGUGUUUAUGUGGCAGGGUAAUUAUUUUAUCUGCUGUUGGCCCCGGUCGGAGUGUGAUUGGCAGACCAAUGAAAGCGGCCAUACUAUUAUUUUGAUGGGUGUGAUGGUGUCCUAAUGAUUCUGGGUUCUCCUCUCCCUGGCGGUCCCUUUCUGUUCCUAUUUGUGGUAAGUUUGAUUAGAGCGAGGCUGGUGGCAUCGGCGUUGUGGCACGUUUGUGACGGAGUUCGCUUACAGGCCCUCGCUGUCCUCUGGUAGAGUUGGUUCAUCAGCAUCAGUGGGAUCGUUCUCUGGCUCUAGAAUAGCUCCGCUGGUGACACCGAUGUUGUGCAGAAAUGCACAAGCAAGCACAACAUCUGUGCAGAAAGAGAUCUUGACCUCCAGAGCUUUGAACAGGGUUGAUCUCCACCGUGUUUUUAUGAUACCAAAGGCACGCUCAAUGAUUGAACGUGCCUUUGAAUUAUGACGGUUGAAUCUUCUCUGAACUCUCCCUUGUGGCAUCCUGUGUGGUGUGACUACUGUUGUUGGUGUUUCCAGACAGGGGUACCAUCUAUCACUUAAAAGAAAAUACCCCUUAGGUGGGUAUUCAGCAUUUAGGUAGAUUGGGCUGUUUUUAAAAAUCCUUGUGUCAUGCACAGAUCCAGGAUAACCAAUGAAAACAUUUAUGAAACGUCCUGUAUCACAUAUUGCCUGCAUUUGGAUUGAAUGAGACUGUUUGUAAGUAAAAUAAACUUCCUUGUGUGUAUUUGGUGGUUUUAUGCGAAUGUGGCACCUAUCAAUGGCACCAACUGCUUUACUGAAGGCAGCAUGCUGUGCCAAACGGCAAAACCUUGACCAAUGUUGUCAAGCUGAUCUCUCUGUUGGUACCUUAUGACUUUACCCUCCCUGACAAUUUUUUUAAAUUUUAGCUAUCAUCUUGUGGACAUGAAGGCAAACCGUUGAUUGGGCAUGGCAAAUACAUUUGCAGUCACUCUGUAAGACAGACCAUGAGCCAGCCAAUACACAAACACCAAAACCUCCAAGGUGCAUCCCCAACCAUGUUCCCCUGUUUGCAUAAACUGGAUUAAACUGUUCAUUGUUGUCCGAGAAAGACGAAAAUUUGGAUGCAUAUCAGCAUGUU